CGUGGCCGUUCUUCUUGCCGCCGCGCCACCGACCCUCGUAGCGGGUGCCGUCGGUCGAUGUGAUCUCACCGUGACCGUCCCUGUGGUCGCGAUGCCACUGGCCCUCGUAGCGCUCGCCCGUGCCAAACAUCAUUGUGCCACGGCCGUGCCUCUGGCCGUCGUGCCAGUCGCCCUCGUAGCGCGUGCCGUCGGCAUAGGUCAUUGAGCCGCGGCCGUGCGGAUUAUCAUAGCGCCAUUGACCCUCAUAGCGCGUGCCGUCAGACAGCGUGUUUGUGCCGUGGCCAUGCCUCUGGCCGUCAUGCCAGUCGCCCUCAUAGCGCUCGCCGUCGGCGCGUGUGAGCGUGCCCCUCCCGCGCGCCAGGUGCAUGUGCCAGUCGCCCUCGUAACACGUGCCAUCAGGAAAGGUCAGGGAGCCGUGGCCGUGCCAGAGGUCCUCGUGCCACUGGCCCUCAUAGCGCUUGCCGCUGGCAUAGACCUUGGAACCGCGCCCGUGGCUCCUCGCCAGGUGGUCAAACUCGCCGUCGUACCGGCUGCCCUUGGCCCAUAUGUAGGUGCCCCUGCAGAUCGUCUCGGCCUGUGCCUUGCCGACAAAGACGUCGCCAUUGUCAUAGGUUUCAACGAUCUCGCCAUAAGGCUGGCCAUAGUGCCAGACACCCUCGCGCCGAUCGCCUGACGCAUAUGCGCGCGUGCCGUGCCCGUGCGGCUCGUCGCGCUCGCACUCGCCCUCGUAGCGUCCGUCCGCGCCAUAGCACAACGUGCCCACGGCGAGCCGCUUGCCGUCUUCCCAACGACCCCUGAACGCGACGCCGGUGGGGUAGCGCUCGAUGCCAUCGCCGUGCAUUCGACCACGCACCCAGUGGCCUUGGCGCACUCUGCCUGCCGAGUGCGAUGGUGACAGGAUGCCCGAGGCGACGACCGCGCGCGGCCGCACUGGGCCACACCCAGGAGUCAUCGCGGCGUCGACCAUGACGCCAAAGCCGUGGGGUUGGCCGUCGACGACGUCGCCCCAAUAGGCGCACUGCCCACACUCUGCCCAUACGGCGCCGACGUCGGUGCCGUCGGGCCGCGCGACAUGCGCCUGCGCACGGUAGAUCCAGCGCCAAUCGACACCGCGAGGCCACGGCGUCUCGUGCAUCGGUGGUCCAAAGUGCACCAGGCACAGGCGACGCCACAGCGCGGCAUCUGCCGCCAGCGCGUGGUGGCGUCGCGAUGUGUGUGACCACGCGACGAGCGCCCUGGCGUCGUCCACGCCCAAGAGGAUGUGCAACACCACCUCGUCGGGCAGCCAUUCGAACCAGGGCGCGUCGGCCCCGGCCGGGCGCGCGUCCUCUGUCUUGGGCACUUUGGGAGCGCGCGCGAGAGCGCAGCCGCGGUUCCCGUGGGUCCUCUUCAUUCGCCUUUGUCCUCUUUUUUUUUCUUUUCGGUGGUCACAAGUCUGGUGAAGCACAGGACCGGAAUGGACGUAGAGAAAAAAAAAGAAAAAAAAGAUGGAGCGACGCACCAACAGAGGCGCACUGCCGCAGCGUGACCGCCCUGCCUCUGCACCGCGAGGAAAACCCGAUAAACCGAUCGACGAAAAAUAGCCCUGGCGAGAUGCAGCAAGAUGACAAAAUGAUGCCCACAAACACAUCAAAAGAAAAAUGUGGAGGAGAAAAAAAAGAGACCUGAUGGUUUCAUUUUGC
rnacentral:lncRNA from 1 species